GUUUUAUAAAAGUUGUCUUGAAGCGUGCACAACAUGAGAGUGUAUCUGCUUGUUUUUAUAUUAAUUUCAACUUUAUGGACGUCUUUUGUAGCAGCGGAUUGUUUGACGGAUCCCGUGACAAUGCUGUGCAUUUUGGACCCAGAUCAGGGCAAAUAAGCAUGUACCCAUGUAUAUGAAGAUGGUUCAAUAAAGCAAAAAAGUCGAUCAUGAA